rnacentral:misc_RNA from 1 species
UUAGAUACCCUGGUAGUCCACGCCCUAAACGAUGUCAACUAGCUGUUGGGGCCUUCUGGCCUGGUAGCGCAGCUAACGCGUGAAGUUGACCGCCCGUGAGUACGGUCGCAAGAUUAAAACUCAAAGGAAUUGACGGGGACUCCCGCACAAGCGGUGGAUGAUGUGGAUUAAUUCGAUGCAACGCGAAAAACCUUACCUACCCUUGACAUGUCUGGAAUCCCAAAGAGAUUUGGGAGUGCCGCAAGAGAACCGGAACACAGGUGCUGCAUGGCUGUCGUCAGCUCGUGUCGAGAUGUUGGGUUAAGUCCCGCAACGAGCGCAAGUAACCCUUGUCAUUAGCUUUCUUUUCGCGAAAGGGCACUCUAAUGAGACUGCCGGUGACGUCCGGAGGAAGGUGGUGACGUCAAGUCCUCAUGGCUCCAUGGGUAGGGCUUCACACGUCAUACAAUGGUCGGGACAGAGAGGGUCGCCAACCCGAGGGGGAGCCAAUCCCAGAAACCUGAUCGUAGUCCGGAUCGCAGUCUGCAACUCGACUGUGGAAGUCGGAAUCGCUAGUAAUCGCGGAUCAGCAUGUCGCGGUGAAUACGUUCCCGGGUCUUGUACACACCGCCCGUCACACCAUGAGUGUGGUUUUACCAGAGGUAGAAGUAGUUAGCCUAACCGUAAGGAGGGCGAUUACCACGGUAGGAUUCAUGACUGGGGUGAAGUCGUAACAAGGUAG